rnacentral:rRNA from 1 species
GGUGGGCACUCUAAGGAGACUGCCGGUGACAAACCGGAGGAAGGUGGGGAUGACGUCAAGUCAUCAUGGCCCUUACGGCCUGGGCUACACACGUGCUACAAUGGUCGGUACAGAGGGUUGCCAAGCCGCGAGGUGGAGCUAAUCUCACAAAACCGAUCGUAGUCCGGAUCGCAGUCUGCAACUCGACUGCGUGAAGUCGGAAUCGCUAGUAAUCGCGAAUCAGAAUGUCGCGGUGAAUACGUUCCCGGGCCUUGUACACACCGCCCGUCACACCAUGGGAGUGGGUUGCACCAGAAGUAGCUAGUCUAACCUUCGGGGGGACGGUUACCACGGUGUGAUUCAUGACUGGGGUGAAGUCGUAACAAGGUAGCCGUAGGGGAACCUGCGGCUGGAUCACCUCCUUAA